rnacentral:rRNA from 1 species
GACGAACGCUGGCGGCGUGCUUAACACAUGCAAGUCGAACGAUGAAGAAAAGAAUUGAAGCUUCGGCAGAAAUUCAUUUCGGAUUAGUGGCAGACGGGUGAGUAACGCGUGAGCAACCUACCUCUUACAAAGGGAUAGCCUCGGGAAACCGGGAUUAAUACCAUAUAACAUUGCGACGAAGCAUUUCGAUGCAAUCAAAGCUACGGCGGUAAGAGAUGGGCUCGCGUCCCAUUAACCAGAUGGUGAGGUAACGGCUCACCAUAGUAACGAUGGGUAACCGGCCUGAGAGGGUGAACGGUCACACUGGAACUGAGACACAGUCCAGACUCCUACGGGAGGCAGCAGUGGGGAAUAUUGCACAAUGGAGGGAACUCUGAUGCAGCGACGCCGCGUGAGUGAUGAAGGAAUUCGUUUCGUAAAACUCUGUUCUAUGGGAAGAAAAGGACUGUACCAUAGGAGAAAGCUCCGGCUAAAUACGUG